GUGUCAGCCGCCGCGGUAAUACGUAGGGACCAAGCGUUGUCCGGAAUCAUUGGGCGUAAAGAGCGUGUAGGCGGCUUGUUAAGUCUUGCGUGAAAUCUCGGGGCUCAACCCCGAGCGGUCGUGAGAAACUGGCAGGCUAGAGUGCGGGAGAGGAGAGUGGAAUUCCUGGUGUAGCGGUGAAAUGCGCAGAUAUCAGGAAGAACACCCGUGGCGAAGGCGGCUCUCUGGAACGCAACUGACGCUGAGACGCGAAAGCGUGGGGAGCAAACAGGAUUAGAAACCCUCGUAGUCC
rnacentral:rRNA from 1 species